rnacentral:SRP_RNA from 1 species
AGCCGGGUCCUGCGCAACGAAAGGUUGCGAAUCCCGUCAGAUCCGGAAGGAAGCAGCGGUAGUAACUGAUUUCGUGUGCCGCAGGGGAGCCUGGCUAUC